ACGAGUGCCGUUUUCGACACACCAUUUAUAUUUUCGACAUAAAAUCUCAAAACGAAAGCCCCCCAACAGUAGCAUUAGUUAUUCUAAUUCCUCUUCAUUUAAACAUUUAACGUUAAAAAAUGAAAAGAAAAACGGACAUUACAUCAUAUUUCUAUAUGAAAAAGAAACAAAUUGAUCCGGACACAGAGAGAGAGAGAGAGUCAGAUGAUGAUGGAGGUAAAAGGUCUGAAGAGGAGCAAGUUGAAAGCACCUGAAAGGGAGAGUCAGAGGACACUUGAUUCAUUUAUUUUCAGAGUGAGGACACAGAGCAGGAAAGAUAUCCAAAUGAAGAUCCUGAGAAUAAGGAAGACGACACGACAAUAGAAGUGGAGUGUGAGACACAGACAGAAGAUAUUUGCGCUUCAACAAGCACUGGACCAUCAGACAUCAGUAGAUGUAAAGAGGACCCGCCAAAGCAGCCAGACUGAAAACUGUUUCCCAGGACCCUGAUGGGGGACAGGAGAAGGAGCUUCAAGGCAGGCUGGUACCAUAUCCACCCUUGGCUUGAAUAUUCUCAAACGAUGGACUCUGCGUAUUGUUACGCUUGCAGACAUUUUAUCCCUCCUAAUAGCCAAGACACAGUCUUUGACUCACCAGUUGGUUUCAAAAACUGGAAGAAAGCAUCUUACAAAACAGGAGGGGUUGCAUUGCAUGCAAGAUCUGAGCGCCACAAGCAAGCUAUGGUUGCAUGGAGGGACUAUCAGAGAGCUGUAGCAGCUGAUGCAACACUAGCCGUUGCCUUAAAUAAGGAGCACAACAGACACA